CCGGAAUUAUUGGGCGUAAAGAGCUCGUAGGCGGUUUGUCGCGUCUGCCGUGAAAGUCCGGGGCUUAACUCCGGAUCUGCGGUGGGUACGGGCAGACUAGAGUGCAGUAGGGGAGACUGGAAUUCCUGGUGUAGCGGUGGAAUGCGCAGAUAUCAGGAGGAACACCGAUGGCGAAGGCAGGUCUCUGGGCUGUAACUGACGCUGAGGAGCGAAAGCAUGGGGAGCGAACAGGAUUAGAUACCCUGGUAGUCCAUGCCGUAAACGUUGGGCACUAGGUGUGGGGAGCAUUCCACGUUUUCCGCGCCGUAGCUAACGCAUUAAGUGCCCCGCCUGGGGAGUACGGCCGCAAGGCUAAAACUCAAAGGAAUUGACGGGGGCCCGCGCAAGCGGCGGAGCAUGCGGAUUAAUUCGAUGCAACGCGAAGAACCUUACCAAGGCUUGACAUGCACUGGAUCGCUGCAGAGAUGUGGUUUUCUUUGGACUGGUGCACAGGUGGUGCAUGGUUGUCGUCAGCUCGUGUCGUGAGAUGUUGGGUUAAGUCCCGCAACGAGCGCAACCCUCGUUCCAUGUUGCCAGCACUUCGGGUGGGGACUCAUGGGAGACUGCCGGGGUCAACUCGGAGGAAGGUGGGGACGACGUCAAAUCAUCAUGCCCCUUACGCCCUGGGCUACACACGUACUACAAUGCUACGGACAAAGGGCAGCAAGCAUGCGAAUGCAAGCAAAUCCCAUAAACCGUGGCUCAGUUCAGAUUGCAGGCUGCAAC
rnacentral:rRNA from 1 species